UACGUAGGCAGCGAGCGUUGUCCGGAAUUACUGGGCGUAAAGAGCUCGUAGGUGGUUUGUCGCGUUGUUCGUGAAAACUCACAACUCAAUUGUGGGCGUGCGGGCGAUACGGGCAGACUGGAGUACUGCAGGGGAGACUGGAAUUCCUGGUGUAGCGGUGGAAUGCGCAGAUAUCAGGAGGAACACCGGUGGCGAAGGCGGGUCUCUGGGCAGUAACUGACGCUGAGGAGCGAAAGCGUGGGGAGCGAACAGG
rnacentral:rRNA from 1 species